AUGUCUGGAAACGCAGAAAGAAUCAAAGGAGCAAAGAAAGAGAAAGCCUUGCCCCUGUGAGUGCACUUCUUGUCAUGAAAGCUGGGGUGACCCCCAACAUGUUAAAACAGAGAGCAGAGCGCUGCCUCCUGAUUCAGCUAACAACAGUCCCGAGAUACCUAUCAGGUAACUAAAAGGAAAGAAGUCUCCAAGAAUGAAGUAAUGAUAAGGAUGUGGGAGAGGUGUUCUUAACUAAGAGGCAAGAAGGAAGAAGGACAGAUGAAGAGGGUCAGUGCUGUUGAUAGAAGGAGCCUCAUAUGUGUAGACAUGAAGGUAAAAGACGGCAUGGCCUACAGGAGAAGAAAGAAUAGCAUGGUUGGACUCAAUAAAAGAAAGUUAUGAAACACA